rnacentral:rRNA from 1 species
AAAUUGAAGAGUUUGAUCAUGGCUCAGAUUGAACGCUGGCGGCAGGCCUAACACAUGCAAGUCGAGCGGUAGCACAGAGAGCUUGCUCUCGGGUGACGAGCGGCGGACGGGUGAGUAAUGUCUGGGAAACUGCCUGAUGGAGGGGGAUAACUACUGGAAACGGUAGCUAAUACCGCAUAACGUCGCAAGACCAAAGUGGGGGACCUUCGGGCCUCAUGCCAUCAGAUGUGCCCAGAUGGGAUUAGCUAGUAGGUGGGGUAACGGCUCACCUAGGCGACGAUCCCUAGCUGGUCUGAGAGGAUGACCAGCCACACUGGAACUGAGACACGGUCCAGACUCCUACGGGAGGCAGCAGUGGGGAAUAUUGCACAAUGGGCGCAAGCCUGAUGCAGCCAUGCCGCGUGUAUGAAGAAGGCCUUCGGGUUGUAAAGUACUUUCAGCGGGGAGGAAGGGAGUAAAGUUAAUACCUUUGCUCAUUGACGUUACCCGCAGAAGAAGCACCGGCUAACUCCGUGCCAGCAGCCGCGGUAAUACGGAGGGUGCAAGCGUUAAUCGGAAUUACUGGGCGUAAAGCGCACGCAGGCGGUUUGUUAAGUCAGAUGUGAAAUCCCCGGGCUCAACCUGGGAACUGCAUCUGAUACUGGCAAGCUUGAGUCUCGUAGAGGGGGGUAGAAUUCCAGGUGUAGCGGUGAAAUGCGUAGAGAUCUGGAGGAAUACCGGUGGCGAAGGCGGCCCCCUGGACGAAGACUGACGCUCAGGUGCGAAAGCGUGGGGAGCAAACAGGAUUAGAUACCCUGGUAGUCCACGCCGUAAACGAUGUCGACUUGGAGGUUGUGCCCUUGAGGCGUGGCUUCCGGAGCUAACGCGUUAAGUCGACCGCCUGGGGAGUACGGCCGCAAGGUUAAAACUCAAAUGAAUUGACGGGGGCCCGCACAAGCGGUGGAGCAUGUGGUUUAAUUCGAUGCAACGCGAAGAACCUUACCUGGUCUUGACAUCCACAGAACUUUCCAGAGAUGGAUUGGUGCCUUCGGGAACUGUGAGACAGGUGCUGCAUGGCUGUCGUCAGCUCGUGUUGUGAAAUGUUGGGUUAAGUCCCGCAACGAGCGCAACCCUUAUCCUUUGUUGCCAGCGGUCCGGCCGGGAACUCAAAGGAGACUGCCAGUGAUAAACUGGAGGAAGGUGGGGAUGACGUCAAGUCAUCAUGGCCCUUACGACCAGGGCUACACACGUGCUACAAUGGCGCAUACAAAGAGAAGCGACCUCGCGAGAGCAAGCGGACCUCAUAAAGUGCGUCGUAGUCCGGAUUGGAGUCUGCAACUCGACUCCAUGAAGUCGGAAUCGCUAGUAAUCGUGGAUCAGAAUGCCACGGUGAAUACGUUCCCGGGCCUUGUACACACCGCCCGUCACACCAUGGGAGUGGGUUGCAAAAGAAGUAGGUAGCUUAACCUUCGGGAGGGCGCUUACCACUUUGUGAUUCAUGACUGGGGUGAAGUCGUAACAAGGUAACCGUAGGGGAACCUGCGGUUGGAUCACCUCCUUA